GACGAACGCUGGCGGCGUGCUUAACACAUGCAAGUCGAGCGGUAAGGCCCUUUCGGGGGGUACACGAGCGGCGAACGGGUGAGUAACACGUGGGUGACCUGCCCUCAGCUCUGGGAUAAGCCUGGGAAACUGGGUCUAAUACUGGAUAUGACUCCACGGUGCAUGUCGUGGGGUGGAAAGCCUUGUGCGGCUGAGGAUGGGCCCGCGGCCUAUCAGCUUGUUGGUGGGGUGAUGGCCUACCAAGGCGACGACGGGUAGCCGGCCUGAGAGGGCGACCGGCCACACUGGGACUGAGACACGGCCCAGACUCCUACGGGAGGCAGCAGUGGGGGAAUCUUGCGCAAUGGGCGAAAGCCUGACGCAGCGACGCCGCGUGAGGGAUGACGGCCU
rnacentral:rRNA from 1 species